GCUUUCAUAGCUUCAGAAUUUUAUUUCAUGGCCAACGGCUCCCUUAAAAACAGACAUUUCUUUUUAUGUUGUUGACCGGACUGUUUUGCUGGACUUAGCUUGAAAAAAAAAAAAAAAACAACCCAGCAAGAUGGGAGCAGGCAAAUACUACAAAGGGUCUCUGUUCAGCCCCGCCUGGGGUGCUGUGAGCAGAGCUGAUUGUUGUCAGGCAAGCCCUGGAAAGCCGGCCACCCCUGAUGGAGAAGGUGCUUUCCCUUCAGAAGGCCCUGCUCUGAGCGGCCCCUCUUCCCCGACCCACUCCUUCCAAGACGCAGUACUCGGCAUAGGACGCCCACCUGCCCGCCUUGCGCGGGGCUGACCUGGACAUCCCUGCCCGGGGCUCACACCCCUGCAGGACUGGGGGUAGAUGGAGCCAAAGAGGAUGUCCCCCAGGCUCUACAGACUCAGCAACUUGGGGUGGAGAAUGAGAGUGGAUCAGUCAUUGGAUUGAUGAGGAAACUGGCUCCCUGAACGGCUGAGUCACUCUCCCCAGGCCCCACGGGCAGUCAGUGGUGGAGCUGAAUCAGAGCCCAGGCCCAGUGUCCUCACCACUGUGCUGAACGUGCCCCUGUCCCACUUGGCUUGUCUCCAGGGAGACACUCACCACACACCUGGGGGUCUACCUGCUUCCGCGUCUGUCUCUCUGCAAGGCUUGUGCUCUUCCAGGCCAGCGGUUGUGGUUCAGUUGCUACGUCGUGUCCGACUGAUCCCAUGAACUGCAGCGCUCCAGGGUCUCUUGUCCUUCACCAUCCCCCUGAGCUUCCUCAAACUCAUGUCCAUCGAGCCAGUGAUGCCAUCCAACCGUCUCAUCC
ensembl:lncRNA